rnacentral:snRNA from 1 species
GGCUCCCAAAGGCACGUGU